AGCUACCUUAGACAAAGUGCCCGUUGCCACGCAUAUCAGUUUCUGGCAGUGCGAUCCACUGGGAACAAGGCCUAAGGUUCUACCUUUAACAAGAAAGAGUAGCUAUAUGGAAGGAUACUUGAUCCAUGUGUUGGGACUCACCUGUGUGAAGGGCAGCUGCUCGGAGUUGGCGCCGCACUUGCAGACGCU